AACGCACGGGACAGUGGUUUAUUCGAACAACGCGCAGAACCUUACCAGCCCUUGACAUCCCGGUCGCGGACAGGAGAGAUCCUGUCCUUCAGUUCGGCUGGACCGGUGACAGGUGCUGCAUGGCUGUCGUCAGCUCGUGUCGUGAGAUGUUGGGUUAAGUCCCGCAACGAGCGCAACCCUCGCCCUUAGUUGCCAGCAUUUGGUUGGGCACUCUAAGGGGACUGCCGGUGAUAAGCCGAGAGGAAGGUGGGGAUGACGUCAAGUCCUCAUGGCCCUUACGGGCUGGGCUACACACGUGCUACAAUGGUGGUGACAGUGGGCAGCGAGACCGCGAGGUCGAGCUAAUCUCCAAAAACCAUCUCAGUUCGGAUUGCACUCUGCAACUCGGGUGCAUGAAGUUGGAAUCGCUAGUAAUCGUGGAUCAGCAUGCCACGGUGAAUACGUUCCCGGGCCUUGUACACACCGCCCGUAAANNNNNNCCCCCCNNAANCAAAAACAAU
rnacentral:rRNA from 1 species